rnacentral:misc_RNA from 1 species
GACGAUUCAGAACCUCACCGCCAGUUGCUUAAUUCUUUGGAUAAUUUCAGGAAGAGUACAGACCCGACGAUGAAGAUGGAGAUGAUGACGUAGAUACGCAUGUUGAAAAGAAACCAUUUUUCGCCUCAUCAGAAGGAGUUACAUUUCAUGCAAAUUCGUUUAUUGAGCUCCAUAUCUCUAGGCCGUUGCUUCGGGCUUGUGAAGCAUUGGGUUACAGUAAGCCUACCCCAAUUCAGGCGGCUUG